rnacentral:rRNA from 1 species
UACGUAGGGUCCGAGCGUUGUCCGGAUUUAUUGGGCGUAAAGAGCUCGUAGGCGGUUUCGUAAGUCGGAUGUGAAAACUCAGGGCUCAACCCGGAGACGCCAUCCGAUACUGCGAUGACUGGAGUCUGGUAGGGGAUCACGGAGUACCUGGUGUAGCGGUGAAAUGCGCAGAUAUCAGGUGGAACACCGAUGGCGAAGGCAGUGAUCUGGGCCAGUACUGACGCUGAGGAGCGAAAGCGUGGGGAGCAAACAGG